GAGGUUGUAGUAAUUCAAAAAUAAGGCGGGAGGUGCCUAGUUAUGUAAAUUCGAUUCACACGUAUAAAUUAAUUAUAAAUUUGAUUACCUUUCUUCUUCAGGCGGCAAAUUGAUAUGUUGNGGUUCCCGUGCUUUUGUAAGAAUCUCUGCGUAGUCUUUUACACUCGCUUGUGAUCAUCUGUCCAAAAGCAACGGGAACAAUACAUACACUGUGUGUUUAUUGGAAGUGGCCGGCCUCCUUAUAACUGGAGAAAUAUGUGUGUGUGCGUGUGUAAAUGUGCUAU